UUUCAAGACUCCUUUAUCCAUUGUUAUUUACUCGACGAGGCAAGAGAUAAAGGGAAGCGGGCGAACGAAUGACGUGAGUGGGUUUCACUCCCCAGCCAGCCCGUUAAAAGGCCCGUGGAAUCGCGCUCGAAGGGCCCUACUUUGCGGCGCGGAGGAGCAUCGUGGUGGCGAUUUGUAGUCCGACGAUCGUUGAGCCGGCCUCCGAUUGGCUGGUUCGUACCUGCAAUGCGUCACUCGAGCUCGCAGCCGCCGCCGGGACGCGGUGCGGCUUCUGCCGUUGCUGGUCUGGCCGCGCUGUCCUGGCAACUGCGCCAGGCGGUAGAGUCGCUUUCCUUGCGCUUGGCUGGAGAACCUUCCUCCUCCACCCAUCCUUCUCUCCCACACUCACACACACACUUUCCCGCCCCUUGUGCAGGGGUAGGCGAAAACACCUUAGGCAGAUAAAGAAUGACGCUGAAAGACCCCGGGAAACCUGUACCCCGCGCUCAGCUUCUCGGCCUCGUGCAGGUCACACUUUUUUCAUUUUACUCCUUCACGAAACCAAUAAAAAUCUAGGUAUGUACCCAGAAGAACUGAAAGUAAGAUCUUGAAGAGCUAUUGGUAUGGCCAUAUUCAAGGCAGCGUUAUUCGCUAUAGCUAAAACUUGGAAGCAACACAAGAAUGGAUAAGCAAAAUGUGGUAUAUACAUACAAUGGAAUGUUAUUCAGCCUUGAAAAGGAAGAAAAUUCUACAACAUGCCACCACAUGAAUGAACCUUGAGGACAUUAUGCGCAGCCUCCGGAGCUCUUCCAAAUUGUCACCUAGGAUGAAUAUGACAGCAAACAAUGCUUUAAAAGAGCCAGCUCUGUGGUUCCCGGCUCUCCCCAGCCAAACUGUGCUUACGUUUCAUACGGUCACUGACCUUUCUUUCCUUGCUGCUCCAACAACUGCUAUCUUUGCAGCUCUUCUUCCAUCUGCUGCCUUGUUUUUUGUUCCAUGGCCAUUGUGGUUGAGUAUGUCCUUUGUCUGAGCUGGGACAGACAACUCCUGGCUGAGAAGCAUCCCGGAAGGCUCAGAGCCGUCCCUCUGUGCAGUAUGCAACCACUCAACACCAUCUGGGGGACCCACUAGCCAAGAUGCUCUGAGGUAGGGCACUCAGGGUUGCCAGUCUUAUCAGUGAAAUAUGGAAAGACAGAAAUAAAGAAGCAAUUUCAAGA